rnacentral:rRNA from 1 species
AGGCGUGCCUAAUACAUGCAAGUCGAGCGGACCAAAUCCGAUCUUGCUCUGAUUUGGUCAGCGGCGGACGGGUGAGUAACACGUGGGCAACCUGCCCGCAAGACCGGGAUAACUCCGGGAAACCGGAGCUAAUACCGGAUAACACCGAAGACCGCAUGGUCUUUGGUUGAAAGGCGGCCUUUGGCUGUCACUUGCGGAUGGGCCCGCGGCGCAUUAGCUAGUUGGUGAGGUAACGGCUCACCAAGGCGACGAUGCGUAGCCGGCCUGAGAGGGUGACCGGCCACACUGGGACUGAGACACGGCCCAGACUCCUACGGGAGGCAGCAGUAGGGAAUCUUCCGCAAUGGGCGAAAGCCUGACGGAGCGACGCCGCGUGAGCGAAGAAGGCCUUCGGGUCGUAAAGCUCUGUUGUGAGGGACGAAGGAGCGCCGUUUGAACAAGGCGGCGCGGUGACGGUACCUCACGAGGAAGCCCCGGCUAACUACGUGCCAGCAGCCGCGGUAAUACGUAGGGGGCGAGCGUUGUCCGGAAUUAUUGGGCGUAAAGCGCGCGCAGGCGGUCUCUUAAGUCUGAUGUGAAAGCCCACGGCUCAACCGUGGAGGGUCAUUGGAAACUGGGGGACUUGAGUGCAGGAGAGGAGAGCGGAAUUCCACGUGUAGCGGUGAAAUGCGUAGAGAUGUGGAGGAACACCAGUGGCGAAGGCGGCUCUCUGGCCUGCAACUGACGCUGAGGCGCGAAAGCGUGNGGAGCAAACAGGAUUAGAUACCCUGGUAGUCCACGCCCGUAACGAUGAGUGCUAAGUGUUAGAGGGGUCACACCCUUUAGUG